CCGGAGUGGACGAUCCUCUAGUGGACCUGUUGUCGCGCCAGCGGCACAGCAGGGUAGCUAUGAUCGGAAGCGAUAACCGCUGAAAGCAUCUAAGCGGGAAGCCCCUUCCAAGAUGAGAUCUCCCUGGACCCUUGAGGUCCCUGAAGAGCCGUUCAAGACCAGGACGUUGAUAGGUCGGGUGUGUAAGCGCUGCGAGGCGUUGAGCUAACCGA
rnacentral:rRNA from 12 species